rnacentral:rRNA from 1 species
UAACACGUGGGUAACCUGCCCAUAAGACUGGGAUAACUCCGGGAAACCGGCGCUAAUACCGGAUAACAUUUUGAACUGCAUGGUUCGAAAUUGAAAGGCGGCUUCGGCUGUCACUUAUGGAUGGACCCGCGUCGCAUUAGCUAGUUGGUGAGGUAACGGCUCACCAAGGCAACGAUGCGUAGCCGACCUGAGAGGGUGAUCGGCCACACUGGGACUGAGACACGGCCCAGACUCCUACGGGAGGCAGCAGUAGGGAAUCUUCCGCAAUGGACGAAAGUCUGACGGAGCAACGCCGCGUGAGUGAUGAAGGCUUUCGGGUCGUAAAACUCUGUUGUUAGGGAAGAACAAGUGCUAGUUGAAUAAGCUGGCACCUUGACGGUACCUAACCAGAAAGCCACGGCUAACUACGUGCCAGCAGCCCGCGGUAAUACGUAGGUGGCAAGCGUUAUCCGGAAUUAUUGGGCGUAAAGCGCGCGCAGGUGGUUUCUUAAGUCUGAUGUGAAAGCCCACGGCUCAACCGUGGAGGGUCAUUGGAAACUGGGAGACUUGAGUGCACAAAA